CCUUGCCACCAUGUCAUCCUCAGUGCAGCCAAUCCUACCUGAUUUCAAAAGUUAAGUAGGAUCAAGCUUGGCUUUGUACUUUGAUGGGAGUCCACAAGCAAAUACUAGUAGUUUUCUGGG
rnacentral:rRNA from 11 species